CUCGCUGUCCGCCGGCGGCGGCGGCGGCGGCAGCGACUGUAAAUAGAGCCUGCCUGCAUGUUGUUUACAUGAAGGAUCCGGCGGGAGGAGUCUUCGAGGAGGGGCCGAGGAGGAGGAGGAGGAGAAGGAGGAGGAGGAGGAGCGGGGGGCAAGGAGAAGGAAGACAGGAGUGAGUCCCCCGCGGCCACCAGCACUGCCACCGCUGCCGUCGCCACCGCGUACCUGGGCUCCGCGCCAGACUGACGAGACGAGAUCUCGCCCCGCACGGACGGACGGACGGACGGACGGAGCGGAGCGGACAGGGCUGGGCCCCAGGAAGCACUUGCAAUUCUGACAGUUGACAUUUUACCUGCCAGAAGCUCUAUAUGUGUGACCUUCCCCCCUCACGAACAAAGCACCUGCCUGGGGAGUCUGGGAGCUCGUGUGUAUCUGCAUAUUUGGGGCUGUCCAGUGCAACCUCUGGGAUUGGGGGUCUAAGUUUCCUGGUUUCCCAGUUUGAGAUCAGGGAGAUGCUGCUGAAGAAAGCAGUGCGUUGCAGAGGUGGAACAAUGAAUGAAACAGCCGGAGCGCCUCGUGCUUCGCUGCUGUAUUAUCAGCGGCAGAAUCUGCGCUGGCUCACCUCAUCAAUGAGAGACUGAAGCAAGAUGGACUUGGAGAUCAUGGUCUUUCACACUGGGAGCAGCAGAGGACAGCCGAGGACAGCAUACAGCCUGGAAGUACCAGUAUAGAACAAGAAAGCUCAUGCAGUCUGUGCCACCAAUUUCCUUAAUGUUCCCCCAGGCAAGUCAUGAAGUCUCCCUGGGCUCAAUUUUUCUCACUUUGAAAAUGAGUAGACUUUAUGCGCCACUCUUGUUUUUCAAGCUGAGAUGCUGUAGUUUUCUGAACAUCUGCUCUGCAUUGCUCUACUCUGGUGUUCUCUACAGGGUAAAUCACAGGCGGUGUUUUUUAUGAGGGGGAAGAGGAGAGAAAAAUUGGGAAUCAUAGGAACAUAGAUUAAGAACCUUAGGACCUUAGAAAUCUGCCUUCAUUUUAUAGUGAGGAAACAGAAAGAUUCAGAGAG